rnacentral:rRNA from 1 species
GGACUACACGGGUUUCUAAUCCUGUUUGCUACCCACGCUUUCGCGCAUCAGCGUCAGAACCGGUCCAGGUAGCCGCCUUCGCCACUGGUGUUCCUCCCAAUAUCUACGCAUUUCACCGCUACACUGGGAAUUCCGCUACCCCCUCCCGGCCUCGAGCCCGACAGUCUCAAAGGCAGUUCCUCAGUUGAGCCGAGGGAUUUCACCUUUGACUUAGCAGGCCGCCUACGCGCCCUUUACGCCCAAUAAUUCCGAAUAACGCUCGCCCCCUCCGUAUUACCGCGGCUGCUGGCAC